rnacentral:lncRNA from 1 species
AAGAAGAUUGGAAAGUACAAUUUCCACGGUUGCCACACCAAAUGCCAUAGCUGGGCACCCUCUUCGGCCUGCUCCAAAUGGGAGCAACUCAAAAUUUUGGCCCCUGAAAUCGAUAUCGCUGUUCAUGAACCUCUCAGGUAUAAAUUCUUCUGGAUUUUCCCAUAUUUCAGGAUCCCUUCCAAUUGCCCAGACGUUGACAUGAAUUAUAGUUUUCUGUUUAAUUUCAUAUCCUUCUAGUACGGAAUUUUGCAUUGUCUCUCUUGGUACUAACAAUGGACCUGGUGGAUACAAUCUAAAUGUCUCUUUUAUCACUGCUUUGAAAUAUUGAAGAUUUUGGAUAUCAUCUUCAUUCACUAUGGAUUUUUUCCCAACCGAUUCUCUAAUUUCUGCUUGAACUUUCUUCAUGGCAUUCGGGUUCCCUAUCAAAGCUGUCAUUGCCCAAAUUACUGCAGCUGCGCUUGUAUCCGUUCCACCUACUAGCAUAUUCUACCAGACAAAGUGGGAGGAUAAAAUUUAAAUGCAACAUUGUCAUAUCAAUUGGAUUGUUCUCCUAAUCAUAAACUGUUAUAGCAUGUGUAACAUCACAAGUUCAAAGGUAUACGUUGUAAUAUUUGAAAAAAAUCUUUCUUUAUAUUAUCACCGUUCCACAGACAUAUAACCACAGAAGAAAACUUACCAAGCCAAUAAAUAUGAUAACACACAAAGACUUGCAUAUAUACAAUUUUUAACAUCUAACUGUGAUUAGUUGAUAUUCCCUUCGUUUCAAUUUGUUUGUGUGGUUUUGACUUGACAUGAAGUUUAAGAAAGUAAAGUAGACUUUUGAAUCUUAUACUCUUGAACAUGUCAUGUAGAAGCUUGAAACUAAAAAGUUUUCAUAAAAGGAAAUAGAAAAAAGAAAGUAAGACGGACAAAGUGAAUUAGAGGGAUCAUGAAUUUUCACUUCAUUUUGUUAGUUCAUUCAUACGGUUAAAUGUUUAGCUAGGAGUAAGCAUCCAAGGAGAGAGUAUAUAAAAUGGAGACAAAUGGAGUUGUUCAUUACCAUGAUAAUUCCCUUUAUGUCAUCAAAAGUAAGAUCGAUUGGAGUUGAUUUCUCCUUCUUCAACUUGAGCAAAAGGUCAACAAUAUCUCCUUCCAUCGAUUUUGGCCUGUUGGAAUUGAGAUGCUGCUCGACGAGUCCUUCAUAAAACUCAUCCAGAUCCUUAAAAUUAUUCUCAAGUCUACUUAUUCUUCCAGAGAGUUUAUCAAUCCAACCUAAGAGAGGAAAAUAAUCAGAGACAAAAAAGCCUGCUAAUAUUUCUUCAGUCACUUUUAAAAGCUCCGCAAAUUUCCUCCUUUCAUGUGUUUCUUCAUCGUACCUAAUACCAAAAGCAACUCUACAAAUAAUUGUAGCUGUUAGUGAAAUCAAUAUACUACUCAAAUUUGUAAUUUGUGAAGUGGCAGCUUGUUGAGAUAUUUUCUUGAUCAUUCUUGAUACUUCAUCUUCACGAAUUGGACUAAAAGAUUGCACUUUCUUGAGACUAAAUAAGUGAAGCACACAGAUUUUUCGAAGUUCUCUCCAAUAGUCAUUAUAAGGCGCAAAGCCAAUAUCAUGACCGUUGUAAGACAAUUUUCGCUGACCAAGAAGAAGAGGUCUACUACAAAAUACUAAAUCUUGUGUCUUCAACACUUCUUUUGCUAAUUUUGCUGAAGAAAUUACGACCAUGGUAGAAGAACCAAGUUUCAAUGAGAAUAUAUUUCCAUAUAUCUUGGAAAGUUUCCAAAAAUAGAGAUGAGGGUUUAAACUAUCAAAUUGAUGCAGAUUUCCAAUGAAUGGGAGCCCUAUAGGACCUGGUGGCAUAUUGUUUUCUCCAUUCUUUUUGCUUUUUGGAAGAAGAAAACUGAGAAUAGUGAUGAUAAGAAGAGCUACAAAGAUUGGAAAAAACAUCAUGUGAGUUUUGUUUGGAAAGGGUCACUUGAAAUGUCUUCUGUCUUGUAUUUAACCAAAAAAAUAAAUAAAUCUUGCUACUCUUCUUUUUGUAUGGUGAUUUUUCAUGAGAGUAACAUUGAAAAAUUCAUAGGCCACAAUAAUUAAAGCUUGAAAAAUGACCUUUGUCUUCAAGCAAUCUAUUUUUUCCACAUUAUCUAGAGAUUUAUCUAACCAAUGAUUUCAUAGCAUUAGAUAAAGGCAAUAUUGGUAACUGAAUUAAUAAAUAGAUUGUACAGCUUCCUAUUAGAAGGGGAAGGAAUAAACUCACAAAUAUCAAAGCUUUAGUUUGGGUCCAAAAAUUUGGAUUCAUUCAUGAUCAAGAAAAAUAGAAUUUUAAAUUAAAUUUUGCAUCGGAAUAACACAAGUUCACAUGGUAAGCAUGCUUCUGGGAAAAAUGAUGGCGUGUAGCCAAUUAGGGACAAAUAUAUGUGGGUUAUUGGACUUGAGCAGACAAUACAUGUCGUGUGCUUGAACUGUGACAAAUAUAUGUGGGUUAUUGGACUUAAGCAGACAAUACAUGUCGUGUGCUUGAACUGUGACAAAUAUGAUAUUAGAGCUUAACAUCUCCUCCAUAUGGUAUUCCCUUAGUAUGGGAGCGGAACAAACCUCAAUGAGAACCUUCGGAAGGAGUAUGUUUGGCCAAAACAGAUAAUAUAUGUCACGGGCUUGAGAUAUGACAAUAAGAUCUUGGUCUCUACAGGUAUUGCACUUGGUAUUGGAACGGUGGAGCUUAAACUUCUAUAUGCAUUAUAAGUCGGGGAUUAAUCUUGGAUUACUAGUAUGUUAAUUUGAUGACACAGUUAAUAUACAAGGAGGGGAUAUAAAACCAAAAACCUUCCUAAGAAAAAGCAAUAUACAAUAUACAACUUUGUUUUGGGGUGUUGAUUGCGAUAAUUGAGAAGUUUACAGAGAUAAAGAGAAAAGAGAAGCCAUGGAAGCACAAUUGCUCAUUUUUCAAGUAUUAGAGAAACUGUUACAUUGCCUGCAACUAACUGCUGUAGGUUCUAUUUAUAGACUAGAGUAUACCUUCUAGAAUUGUCUAGAAGAAUCUUAGGUCUUAGCUCAACUACAUCACACUUACAGCACAUGACUGCCAGCUCACCACUCGGCUCCACGUCAUCAGCUACCUAACUAUUAACUAUAUUGUACAGUAGUAGUUCAAUGUAAUAGUAACCGACUACCAUUAUACCAUUAACUAACUAACUGAUUGAUAACUUCCAAUACUUCCCCUCAAGCUGAAGGGUGCAAAAUGUUAAGCACACCAAGCUUGCUUAAUAAGUGACGGUAUUGAUCAUGUCCCAAACUCUUCGUUAGGAUAUCUGCUACCUGAUGUUAUGUUGAAACAUGCAAGGGCUGGACAACUCCAUCUUUGAUUUUAUGUCUAAUAAAAUGAUAGUCGAUCUCGAUGUGUUUGGUUCUCUCAUGAAAGAUAGGAUUGGCUGCAAGUUGUAUAGCUGAUUUACUAUCACUAAACAAGAUGAUAGGUUUGUGAAUCUGAACAUUUAACUCUGCAAAUAGACCUUUUAUCCAAGUAAGUUCUGCCACAGCAGUGGCCAUACUCCUGUAUUCAGCUUCGGCUGAACUCCUUGAGACUGUGAGUUGAUUUUUAGACUUUCCAGGAUAUGAGUGAGCCACCAAAAUGCACCACAUAACCUGUAAUUGAUCUUCUUGUGUUGGGUCAUGCAGCCCAAUCUGAGUCACACCAACAAACCAAGUCUGUAGCAGCCUGAGCUUUCAACAGACACCUUGACCUACUAAACCCUUUAGGUACCUUAUCACUCUAUAUCCAAAUCGGAUCUCUUUGGUCAUUGCAUGAACUGACUUAAUGUUUGAACAACAAAAUUAAUGCCUGGCAUAGUUAUGGUAGCAUACAUAAGCUUACCAGCUAACCUUUGAUAAGAAGUUGCAUCCUUCAAGAUAACAUCACCAGUAACUCCUACAAUCUCAUCAUAGUCAACUGAUGUAAGUCUAGCAUUGAACUCUGUAGGAGUAGAAGAUAGUUUUGCAUUAGUCAAACCAGCUUAUGAUAUUAACUCAAGAAGAUACUUCCUUUGAUUCAAGAUAACACCCUGUGUUGACCUCAAGACUUCAAUUCCCAGGAAGUAUUUGAGCUCCCGUACAUUUUUGAGUUUGAACUGCCUGUGCAAGAUCUCCUUGGCUUCAAUGUUCAUGGCUUCACUAUCACCUAUGAUCAACAGAUCAUCUACAUAAACCAGUAUCACUACCAUUCCCUUUGUUCCUUUUAAUGUGAACAAAGAGUAGUCAUGAGCACUUUGAAUGAAAACUGCACCCAAUAAUGCGGAGGUAAGUUUGAUAUUCCAUUGUUCUGAAGCUUGCUUAAGUCCAUAAGUGACUUAAGUAAUCCACAAACUUUGUGAUUUCCCUUUUUCUGAAAACCAUCAGGCAUUUUCCAUAUAUACUUCCUCAGCUAAAUCUCCAUGUUAAAAGGCAUUAUAGACAUCUAUUUGAUACAUGGCCACCCUUUUGAUACAGCCAAAACAAUCAUACAUCUGACAGUCACCAUAUUUUCCAUAGGGAAAAAUGUGUCAUAAUAAUCCAGUCCUUCCUGUUGACUGUAACCCUUAGCUACCAGUCUUGCCUUAAACCUUUCAACAUCACCAUUUUCUUUGUAUUUUAUUUUGUGUACCCCAUUUGAGCCAAUAGCAUGUGUAGUACUCGUGCCUUUUUCCUAGCUUGAAACCACUCAAGGAUGCUACAACUUGCUUUGAAAUAUGAAUCCACUUUUAUACACGUGGGAUUUUUAAUAUCUUCACUUUCUAUCACGUGAAAAAUUGAAUAAGUUUUCCAUCGAUACCAAUUUCAUCAAAAUUCAAUGUUAGAUGAGGAAGUUAUGGCCGAAAUAUAGAAAGCAGAAAAAACCUCCCAGGUGCGACGGUGUAGGCGACGGACCGUCAGACAAAGGAUGAACCAUCGACCAUGACCUUCGCAUCGAGGCAGUGCGUUAACUUUCUAAAAAUGUACGACGGUGAAGUCCGACGGACUGUUGACCCAGCGACGGACCGUUGCACCCCACCAUCGCACAAUGGCAGUGAGUCCCAGUUUUGUCUCAGUCCGACGGAGAGGUCCGACAGACCGUCGACCCAGCGACGAACCACCGUACCCCACCGUCGGAUAAAUCGCUCAGUUAUUUUAAGUCAUUUUAAUAGGGAUAUUUUGGUCAUUUACCACCGGCCUAGAUAUACCCAGUUAUAUCUGAUUUCAGCCACUUUAUUCAUUAUUAUUUCACACCAACAAAUAUUAAGGUUUCUCUCUAAAAUUAAUCCUCAAGAAUAAAAAUUCAAAUCUUCUUCAAGAACUAAGAGAUUCAAUUCCCUCAACUUCAAGAACAUCAAGAACCUAAUCCCAAGUAUGCACAGUGUUCAUUCAUGGACUUCUUUCAUCCAUGAAGUCCAAUAAUCCCUUUUCCAAAUUCAAGUUAUGGAUUUUCUUUUUGAUUUGAUGAUUGGGCUGUUUUUGUUCAUGUUGAUAAAUCAAAAAAUUAAAUUCUUCUCCAUGUUGGGUGAUAAUUUCUAUGUGGGUUUAGUUGUUAUAGAUUUAGAUUCAUGCAAACUUAUGACUAAACCCUUGAAUGAUGAAAAUAAAAAUUGAAUCAUGAUGUUUAAUUAUUGUAUAAUGAUGUUUACAUGUACUAUGCCUACAAUGUGUUUGCUUAAAUGCCUAGAUGAAGGAAAAUUGCCUAACUAGCGUGAUAUCAUGAAAUCCCCAUGUAUGUACAAGGUUAUGCCUAUAACAUGUUUGAUGAAAGGUCUCAAUAAAUGUAUUAUGGUGAUUAUUAUGUGUUUAAGUAAGUCAAGCUUGUCAGUUUCCUUUCAUCGAGUCCUGGGGGUACUUGUACCCAAAACAUUAGUUGUGUGCCUAGAGCCAAGGUCAUGUUUUCACGAUACUCUCAGUCGAGCUAUAAAUUUUUAGACUUCAGACAGUCUUAUGACUCAAGAAAUCUCCAUGAUCUCAUGAACUCAAUCAAUUGUCAGAUAUCAGUAGUAUUACAUCAGUCAAUGGAAUUCAUUAACUCAGUCCAUGCUUCAGUUCAGUAAAUCAUGUUCAGUGUUUAUUUAGAUGGGAGUAUAAAUUAGCACCGAGCGAACCCAAGGAUGGGAACUCACCUGCUAGUUUAGGGUGUGAUUCUUAGAAGCAGUCCUUGUGUUUCAGAACUAUGUAGCCAGCGUAGGUUGAGACAUCUAACCUGUCAGUUUAGGGUUGGUGAGGUGGCUUAAUGUGUCAAUUUAAGAUUCCCACCAUUCUCAUUUUGAGUACCUGUCAGUAUAGGGUCCUCACAGCUUGUCCUUACCAGUGGCGCGGUAUUGACACCCUUCCAAUUGGGGUUACAGAUUGGACCCCAACUUAGCUAUAAUAGCGCAUUUGGGGCAUGUUGGUUAGAUGACUACUUCCCAUAGUUUCAUGUUAUAGAUUUAGGACUGUCAGAUACAGUCAACUCAGAUACAGUACAAAACUCAGAUAGUUCCAUCAGACUCAGGACUGUCAGAUAUAGUCACUCAUGUUAUCAGUUACAUUCAGACACAAUCAUUCAUGUUAUCAGUCAUAUCGGUUAUCAGUAUGUCAUGUCUUCAGUAUUCAGAUUCAGUAACUAUGUUCUCACGAUAUCAGUGUCAGUUAUUAUGUCUCAUGCAUGUAUUCUCAUGCUCAUGAUAGUUAGUUAGUUAUUAUUAUUGUUCAUGCAUAUGAACCCCAUGCAUUCAUCCUACCUCACAUGCAUACCAGUACAUCCAAAGUACUGACGCAUUCGCGCUAUGGUGUCUUAUACCAUAGGUUCAGAGAUACGAGCUUCAGAUCAACAGUAGAUUCCAAAUAUCCACAGAUAAAGUCAGAAGCGAGUCCUCAUCUUUCGAGGACAUGCUUAUUUCUUUGUUAUCUCAUUAGUUAGUUUAUUAGACGGAGUUAGUUGGGGACAUAUCUCAUCAACUUCUUAUUUAGAUUAUUUAGACAGUAGAGGCUUUCAGACUAGAUGCAGACUAGAUUUCAGAUUUGAUUCAGACUUCAGUAUUUUUAAUUAUUUUUGGGUAUCUAUUACCCCACAAAGACGUUAUAUUAUUCAUGUUAUGUUCAUUAUUAAACCUUAUGGCCCUUCAAUACAUGUUUCCGCAUUAUCAGUCAUGGGUUAGCUUGUGAUUCUUUGGGGUCAUGAGCACCGUGUAUCAUCCCGGAUACCAAAUUCGGGGCGUUACAAACUUAGUAUUAGAGCCUAACGUUCAAUAGAGUCCUAGAAAGUCUAAAAGUUGUAUCUAGUAGAGUCUUGUACAUGGGUGUGUUGCGAGCCACAUUUAUGUGCAGGGGGCUACAAGAUGUUUUAGAAAUAGUUUACCUUCUUUGAGUAUUCAUGUCAUGCCAGUGAGCAUAAACUCAAGUCAAUCUUUCAGUCUAAUCUGCUUCUUCCCCUUAUUUCAGAACAUGCUCCCCAAGAGAAGAACCCAGCCUGUCUAAGAAAAUCCCUUGGACGAUCAUGUUUCUCAUGCGGAAUUCAGGGUCGUAUUUACCACUCUUGAUCAGUCAGUAGCUUCCCAAAAUGAACGACCAACUGUCGUUCCGGCCAACCCAGUGGCCAAUUCAUCUGCAGCUAGGAUUCGGGACUUUACCCGAAUGAAUCCUCCAACCUUUCUCAGUUCUAAGGCAGUUGAGGACCUCAGGAAUUCCUAGAUCAGGUGCAGAAGGUGACAGACUGUCACGACCUGAACUACGGCCUGGCCGUGAUGGACAUCCCGAACCAUGAAGGCCCAGAAUGCCCUUCUCUAUCUGGUAAUCAUGCACAACUUCAUAUAAUAAAAAAAGAUGCGAAAACAUAAUCUGCUACGGAACCAUGGACAAUUCUGAAUUCAACAUAAGUAUGGAAACUGGAAAUCAACUACAUCUAAAUAACAUCUGACUCAAUCGGCGAAAUCUCUACUACAUGAAAAUCUGACAACUAUCUGAAACUGGGACAAGGCCCCCAUUAGACCAAAACUGAAAUAAGUAACAUAAUCUGAAAAGACAGACCUUCUGGAAUAGAGAAGGCUCACCACUGUACAAUCUGAUCAGCUGUCUGAAUUAUCUACUGCUUAUCUGGACCCCUAGACUGAGCCUCAGAACCCGAGUGGUAGGGGGAGGGGGUCAAUAUAGAUGUAAUGGUACGCAGAACAUAUCCAAAAUAAUCAUUUAUUAUUCAACAUAGAUGAGAGCAAUUUAAAACAGUUCAUGAGUAUAUCAUAUAGUAAGAAUUCGCAUGGGCAUUUUAAAGACUCUGUAAAAAUCAUCACAACUCUGAGAAAUCUGUGUUACUUCUGCGCUAGGUGGUAUACCCUACAACUUUGAAAAAUUCCAUGGGCUAUAUGAAAACUGCCAUUAACUCGGCAGCGAAGCCCCUAGCCCAAGUGUGCCGCAAGGGUCGGAGUCUCUGAAUCUACUACGCCACACGACCGUCGCCAGCAUACAAUAAUAAUCUACUCGUAUCGGCAAAUAUGAUUUCAGGCUAAGAGUUGCUUGAACUCGCUCCUUCUUCGGGUAACCACCUAACCCUCUUUAAGCCCCUUUUUAAAACUCUAUCAAAACAUACAGUCUCUGAAAACAUACUCUGAAAACAUAAUCUAUUGUAGCAUAAAUACAUAUGGUAUUGUCAUACCAUUGACUUGCAAGUCACAUCUCUGAGCCAUUAUUACUCUAUCGUACAUAUCUGGUUUCAAAACACAAGUUUUGGGACCACUAUUUCAAUAAUUCAAUUCAAAAAAACUCUUUCUCAAACCUCAUGUGAACACAUGCAAGGAACUCAUCUUUGUCAAGCAUUUCAAUAGUACAAUACAAGGUGGUCAUGUCAAGGUUCUCAAUUCACAUGUAAUUCUUUCUCUUAAGCACAAGAACACAUUUAUAUCAAGAAACACCCUCUUAACAAUUUCAAAUCAUGCUCAAACGCUAUAAUAUUGCGAAAACAUCUUUCAAAUCACAAAACCAUAAUCUUUAAUUCAAUACAAGAGAUGGAGUUCAUAAUUUAUGCUCUCAACAAUCUUAAAUCUCAAUUUCAUACAUAUACAUAUAUAUGUAAAUCAAUUUAGGGGAAAAGACCACAAGGCCAAAGCAAUAGCAGCAUUGAAACUUUUGACAUGCAUAAUCAAUAAUAUAGUUUUCAAAACCCCCAUAAAAUACAUACAUCAAAACCUUUAAAUCAUGCUUUAACAAUUUCAAGCCCAUGUAGUUUUUAGGAUAAACCCCACGUACCUUAAAUUUGGAGAUUUUGAAUGAACUCUAGCUUUUGGGAUGCUAUACGUACGAUUAAUGGGUGCAUAUUGUAGCCCCAGCAAUGGAGAUUCUGAAUCUUGAAGAAUUAAGAAAAACCCACAGUUAAACCUUGAGAUAUUUGAGUUUUUAGUUUGAAACCCUAAGGGGUGUUCUUGAUGAAUUUUGGUGAAAGUGUAUGUAUUUAGGUGUAUUUGGGAUUAAAUCUCGUGUUUGGAAAGGUUUGGGGCCAUGUGCAAUGUCUAAUUUGACCUUGGAAUUUAAAAUUCGGGACUGGAACGCCAAAAAAGGAUUCACCGUGAUGCGCUGGAAUCGCGGUGAGCUACUGGAAUUGACAAUUGUCAAUUUAAGGCUCAUCGCGACGCAGUGGCCAGUAAAUCAAAAAUGCUGAUACUAAAAAUGCUCUAACUUCUUCACCGAGUGUUCGUUUUAGGCGAAUUUGGUAUCGAUAGAAAGAUAAUUCAAGGAUCUUUCAUUUGAUAUAUAGUAAUCCCUCUAAUUUAUUAUAUAAAAAGAGUUAUGAUCGAUUGAAAUCAACCCAAGUUUUGAUGCUCACUCAAACUCGAAUGAUGGGAAAACUUUCAACUCGUCCUUGAGUUAGGGGACAUCUAUGAUCUCAAUUCAUGCUAAGAUAUAUUCCCACACUACAUAAUUGGUUAACAUGCUAAAUUUGCCUUGAAUUUAUGUCUUUUGGAACCUUUACGCGAAGGAAUGAUAGUUUAAGUUCUUGCCCAAAAAUGUGAGGCGUUACACAGACAUUAUGGGGGUGACUACUAUUGAGAGUGCUGAGCUAGAUGCAUAUCAGUUGCAGGAUGUUUCUCACACCUUGUUCAAACAGUGGAAGUCAGAAAGGGCCGACGAUGCAGGGUCAGUUGAGUGGGAGGAGUUUGCUUCAGCUUUCCUCGAUAUAUUCUUUUCCCUAGAGCUUUGGGAAGCUAAGGUGCUGGAAUUCAUUAACCUCAGGUAGGGAAAUAUGACAGAGACAGAGUAUUCUCUUAAGUUUACUCAAUUAGCUAGUUUUGCCCCUCGUGUGGUUACCGGUAGUACGUCAAGGAUGAGUAAGUUCUUCUCAGGGGUGAAUGAUAGCGUGGUUAAUGAGUGCAGAUCCGCCAUGAUAAAUAGUGACAUGACUUUAGCCAGACUUAUGACUCAUGCUCAGCAGAUAGAGGAGCAAAAGAUUAAGAUGAGGGAGAAGCAGAAUAAGAGAGCAAAGACAGGUAGUUUCAACUUUGCUCAGCCCAAAUCAAAAGGAGGAAACCGUUCUCAGUUUCGUCCUCCUUCUUUAGCCAGUACUCCAGCUCCUAAAUUCGGAGAUAGAGCGCGCGCCAGGCUCUCAGUCUCAGGGCAAUGUUAGCAGCACCCACACUUAUCCCCUCUGUCAGACUUAUGGUAAGAACCACAAGGGUGUUUGCAGAUCUGGUAGUGAUGUUUGUUUCGGAUGUGGCAUGCCAGGACACAGAGUUCGAGAGUGUCCUAAGACAGGUUCCCAGCUUUAGCAGAAUCGUUCCACAGCUCAGUCCAGUCGCCCAAAUCAGCAGAGCGCCACUUCCAGUGCUACUAGUGGGCAAUGGCCAAAAUAGUGUAAUAGCAUGUUUAUUCCACCAAAUUAGUGUAACCAAAUUUUGGAAGCAAUUUCCUUAAAAGCGAAUACACUAAAAAUUACCAUUUGGAGUCCAAACUUCUGAAAUAUUCCUGUACUACCUAUUGCUGGUCCCGAGGGGUGUAGGUGGUUUGGUUAGUCCAAAGAUUGUUAUCAGUUCAAGAAUUAACUACUGAGCUCAAUGUGAUAAGAAAUUCUCAAGUACGAUUCUAGUUAGGAAAGUAUUGAACAACCUAUUCUGCCUGGAGAGAUAUCAUCAAGACGGAGCUUCCUCUUCUCCAUUUCUUAGAUCAUAAAGUUUUAGAAGGCAAUGUUUUACCUAAAUAUUGGAAAGAAUAAAGGAGAUUGUUUUUUUUUUGUCUAAGAACUCGAAAGGCAGUCAUUUUCGUCUUUUUUCUCUGAUUUUUCCAUGUCAAAAUCACAAUUUAGCGCUCCAUGCUAAAGAAAAGGGAUUACUUUGAGUCUAAUAUUUCUGCCUUAAUUUUUUCGUCGAGCUCCUCUGGAACUAGACGGAAAAUUUUAAUGAAACAACUGCUACAUCACAAGUUUAUGUAGCCCUGCUUGUGCUCUAUUUUUGCUUGCUAAUUUACAUGGCAGGAGUGAUGUCUAAUUCCCAAUCAUUCCAAGGCAUAUUUAAGUUUUAACUUAAAAAACCAAAUAUGGCAGGCAUAAAACCAUACGACCAUAUGUUAAAUACAGAUAAGUAAGCAUACAUAUUUAUUUAAUUUAAACACUGGAGCUUUACUGUGUUUAUCGGAAGCUUUAAUGCACUAGAAUGGCCUUUACAGGAAUUUGAUCUUCUUCAAUUCUAGUGAUAGUUUGUAGGAACAAGGCACAAAGCAUUUUUCUUAUGCAUAGCAAGUCCAGGCAAAACAUCGGUGUCAAUGUCUUCUCUUUUCAUUCCACUAGGCAACUCCCAAUCAAAGGCGUAAAGAAGAUUAGAAAGUACAAGUUCCACGGUUGCCACACCAAGUGCGACACCGGGGCACCUUCUUCUGCCUGCUCCAAAUGGGAGCAACUCAAAAUUUUGGCCCUUGAAAUCGAUAUCGCUGUUCAAGAACCUCUCAGGUAUAAAUUCUUCUGGAUUUUUCCAUAUUUCAGGAUCCCUUGCAAUUGCCCAAAUGUUGACAUGAAUUAUAGUUUUCUGUUUAAUUUCAUAUCCUUCUAGUAUGGAAUUUUGCAUUGUCUCUCUUGGUAAUAACAAUGGAGCUGGUGGAUACAAUCUAAAUGUCUCUUUUAUCACUGCUUUGAAAUAUUGAAGAUUUUGGAUGUCGACUUCAUUCACUAUGGACUUUUUCCAAACCGAUUCUCUAAUUUCUGCUUGAACUUUCUUCAUGGCAUUCGGGUUCCUUAUCAAAGCUGUCAUUGCCCAAAUUACUACAGCUGCGCUUGUGUCCGUUCCACCUACUAGCAUAUCC